AUGGCGACGAAAUGCAAGCACCGCACGGAGGAAGGAAAAAGUUCUUGUCAAUUAUGUGGAAUUCAGUGCUUGUUUUUUUUUUUCUUGCCUUAAAUUUUGUGACUAAAGGAUGAAGUCAACUAGAGGAGUUCUACCAAUAUUCAUUCACGCCAAGAUUUAUGCGAAAAUAUUCCAAGAAGAAAGGGCCGUGUCACUGCUUACAUAUAAAGUUUCUAUGCUUUAUAAACUGUUGCUUGAAGCACAAAAUUGGCUAACUUAGCUUAGUGAAAACCUAGUAAUCAGUCUUGCACCUAAAAUUUAACCAGGGACUACCUGAGGGCCAAGAUGAAUGCUAAAGACUGGAAGACAUGAGAACUGAAAACCAUAAUGUCUUGAAGAUAAGAGUAGGGAAUUCUUAUGCACUAGUCAUUUGAAAUCUCCACACCCAUGGUCCCGGGAAAGGGUGGGGGAUUAGACUUUAACCUUAAACAACUGUUGUAAUAAAAGCCCCACCCUUCAGAAACAAACUGUUCUCAAAUGCCCCCACCCCUCUGUAACAAUAUUGCUAUGUUCAGUUAGUGAUUUGUUAUUAGUGAUUUUGUUAUUCAAUCACUGCUGCCCCUCGUGCCCCGGAUAUCACAGUAUUGGUAUAUGAUACCAGGGUUGGUUGGUAAAGUAGACUGAGCAUGAAUAAGACAAACGAAUCGACCAAGAAUCCUGAAUAAAGACUAUAGAAACUCUGAAUAUCUUUUCGUUACACCCUCGGGGAAAUAACUGUACAUUUGAGAUGACUUGUUAUCAGAAAUGAGCUGUUUAUAUUUCUCAAAACGUUUUUGUAAUAUGUUGAACAGUACAAUGCAAGUAUAUACACUUGUACAGAGAGUUUGCCUUCCCUACACUUCAUUUAUUCUGCAAAAUAUGGUUAUCUGUACAAGUAUAUACACUUGUACAGAGAGUUUGCCUUCCUUACACUUCAUUUAUUCUGCAAAAUAUGGUUAUCCUGUUGACUAUUUUUUAUGCAAUUAAAGCUCUUUGCUAUUU